rnacentral:sRNA from 1 species
AGGGCGACCGGAUCGACUGCACGGGUGAGCACCAGGAAGUUGCGCAACACUAUCGACUGCCGGUUCUC